ensembl:snoRNA
UGAUGAAUUGACGACAGUCAUCCUUUGAGAGUGACCCGAAAUGAAAAGAAUACUCAUUGCUGAUCACUU